rnacentral:lncRNA from 1 species
GAAUUAUCCUUUUCUUUUAUUUUGAAUGGUCUUUACUGUCAUAAAGUGGCGUUUAAUCAAUAUUUCAAUGAAUGUGUUUGAUUAAUUUUCGAAAAUAUAAAUGUUUUGAAACAGAAAUUGAAUUUUGCGACCAGUGUUUUCUGAAAACGGAAUAACAUGAAACAAGAAAGGUCAAUCUUCGAAGAGAAAACAAAUAAUUCGACGGAAAAAUAUUGUUGAAUAACGAUCUUUCAUAUUGUGGAAACGAGGUAACCACCACUUGCGUUGAAAAUAAUUGAUCAGAUGAAUCGUGGGAAGAGGGAAGAGUAUUGGUAGAGUGGUAGAGUGGCAGGUGUUUCUCAAUAUAAUAGGAAAUUUUGUAAAAAGUGAAAAUUGGGCCUGUGCCACUGACAAUAAACACAAUUCAAGGGGUACUUAAGAAAUGACUUAGUAGUAUAUGAAAAUCCUGACUGUGAAAACAUAAAUCGUGCUGCCUAGGAAAAGACAUACCACCAAGCAGAUGAACGUCGAGAUAUCCCUUGCUUUGCUGUAAACACCAAACUGGAAACUGCAAUGAUUGAUAGUGGGGAUGAGCCAAGACAAGUUAAUGUCAAGUUGGCUACACUAAAUGUAGAGGCGGUGUCAGAUUCAAACUUGAAAAAAGACGGAGAGUCGGGUCAGAGUUGUUUUGAAGAACGUUUCCACUGAAUCAUCACAAGCCGUAGCUGAGGAGGCAUUUUAGAACGAAAUCGGUUAGAGAAAGAGUGCUUGCGCAGAUUACACAGAUUGCUGCAGUGGAGUGACAAUUAGGAGAGCACAGUUCAACAUAUACGUUAAACCCACCAUUCUCAUUUCUACAGCUGCAAUAUUUGUUACUGGCAUAUAGAAAUGACAGUAACUUUUCCAUUCUUCUGUCUACAUUAUAGAACAAUGGAGCUCAGGAUAAGUUGACUCAUUGACCCAAUGUCAGUGUUUCGAAAGAUUUAUCCAAACGCACCACUGAAACAAAUAGACCUUGUAUCGUCCUUACUUUGUAAAACAUACACGCGAAUUUUGCUUUUUCCGAGUUACCACCGGCAUAAAUAAUUACUAUGAGUCGAAAAUCGCGAUGAUAUUUCAAAUCGAACCACUACUGAAGACUGUGAUAGAUCGCGAUGAUUUUGAAAGACCGCGAGAUCUAUUAAAGAUAAAGUGUCCGCGGCGACUCGCGAUGAAAAAUCUAAGCGGGUCGCGUUGAAUUGCGAUGGAUCGCGGCAAAUAACCGGCAGUCACCGCAAAAUAUAGGUAAGGUUUGUUAAGGUGCAAAUAUAUACACUUAACGAAUGAUUUUACGAACUAUUUGAAAGCGUGUUUAUUGCAAAUAUAUUAAAAAAGCUAUUAAUGUAUAUUUAUAAAACUUUACUUUUUUCAAAUACACUUUAAAUAACUUAAAUGCAAUACUAUUUAUAAUGAUAAUUUUACUUUAAUUACGAAAACGUAGACUAUAAUAGGAAUUAUAAAUCGGCGCCGUGAUUUUAGAUCUAGUCUAUUUUUAUUAAAUUGGUUUGCAACAAUAAUACUUGGUAUAUAAAAAUAGUACUUUAUUUAUUAUCAUACAAAUAGAAAGAACGGUCUGCGAUGUCAUUUUUAGCAACAGUUAAACAAAUCACACAUUACGAAUGGAUAAAAUUAUUCAAUAGUGUAUCUAGACUUAACAUCUAAUAGAUUCUUAUGUAUACUAAUUUAAUCAAUAUAUUAUAUCAAGCUAAAUUUGAACGCCAAUUAAAAUUUUACGCUGGUAAUACAUAAUAUGCAGUUUACAAAAAUACAUAGCGUGUAAAUAACUGUUGUUGAUGAUAAUGAAAAACAAAACAAAACACACACACACACACGCACACUUCAAAAUGUUUAACAGAUAUAAUAUAAGAAAAUGUGUAUUUCGUAUCACGUGUAUCAUUUUUCUUAUACGUGAUCAGAUAUCGGCAAAAGUUGUCAAUUAACCCCUUUUCUAUUGACACGUGUUAAAACAAGAUUGACAUAUCUCAUCACUGCGAAAGGAAAAACACAUGCCGACCUAUUGCAUGUACAAUGUAACAGUACUAUGAAAAAAUUGAAGAAUUUACACCUACUUCAAUAUUAUGUUGAUAUUUUAUGAAUUAAUCUAAACCACGUUUUCGGCUAAAAUGACAAUUUAACGCCUGCAUAUAGCUUACAUGUUUUAAAGGAGUACCUGCUAUAAAAAUAUAAUUUAGAUUUUCUGCGUAUAUUCGUGCAUUUUUUUUAAAUUUGUUUCCUUAUAAAUAUGUUUAAUAUUUCAACAAGUACUUCUUUAUACAGAAAAAGGGUGUAUGCGCCAAAUUUAAAGGCUACCUUCUGAAUUCUUAUUUUAUUGCAUUAGCAGAACAGAAAAAAAAUGUUGGGCAUUUUUUUGUAAUUUACACACCUUUAUUUAAAAACUUUCUUUAUCUUUUAAACAUGUAAAGAUUAUUUCAUCUCAUAAUGUUUAUGUACUACCUACAAGAUUAGCUGAUAAUAAUUUUCUACAUGUGAAAUGUAAAUUUUGUAAUAGUGUUGGUAUGUUUAUGCCCAAUUAUUGUAUAUUUAAAUAUUGUAUUUAUAUAUGUAUCUAGCGGAAUGUCACGUUACAUUCACAAUUUAAUUCUAAAAGCGGGUAGACUGUUUGAAUUGCAGUUAAAAGCUGCUGCAUGCAUGUCAUUUUUUUAAUCUAAGAGAUAAAAGAAAUCUUCCCUAUUCAUUCAUAUUUACUAUCAUCAGUUUUGACAUUUCUUGUACAGGUGAAACUCAAUUAUCUGAUUUUUUUUUUCUGUUGUGUUAUAUUUCAAUAUGUAUGCAUGUUUGUACUUUUAUGAUAAAAACAUUUAAAUAUUCUUCUGUAAGGUUUUUAUAUCACUGAACAAAUAAAAAAGCAUUAACACUGAUAUAACAUUUUUUCAUUAUUUUUUUACUUAGUAAAGGCCAUUUAUGAAAAUAGGGAAAAAUUCACAAAGUAUUAUUUGUUGGUGAAAUCAUUAUACAAGAUGUAUGUAACAGCAUACUACAAG